rnacentral:rRNA from 1 species
CCUACGGGAGGCAGCAGUGGGGAAUAUUGGACAAUGGGCGAAAGCCUGAUCCAGCAAUGCCGCGUGAGUGAUGAAGGCCUUAGGGUUGUAAAGCUCUUUUACCAGGGAUGAUAAUGACAGUACCUGGAGAAUAAGCUCCGGCUAACUCCGUGCCAGCAGCCGCGGUAAUACGGAGGGAGCUAGCGUUGUUCGGAAUUACUGGGCGUAAAGCGUACGUAGGCGGUUAUUCAAGUCAGAGGUGAAAGCCUGGAGCUCAACUCCAGAACUGCCUUUGAAACUAGAUAGCUAGAAUCUUGGAGAGGUGAGUGGAAUUCCGAGUGUAGAGGUGAAAUUCGUAGAUAUUCGGAAGAACACCAGUGGCGAAGGCGACUCACUGGACAAGUAUUGACGCUGAGGUACGAAAGCGUGGGGAGCAAACAGGAUUAGAUACCCUGGUAGUCCACGCCGUAAACGAUGAUAACUAGCUGUUCGGGCUCUACGAGCUUGAGUGGCGCAGCUAACGCAUUAAGUUAUCCGCCUGGGGAGUACGGUCGCAAGNUUAAAACUCAAAGGAAUUGACGG